UACGGGGGGAGCAAGCGUUGUUCGGAUUUACUGGGCGUAAAGGGCGCGUAGGCGGUCACGACAAGUCAGUUGUGAAAUCUCCGGGCUUAACUCGGAACGGUCAACUGAUACUGUCGGACUAGAGUGCAGAAGGGGCAACUGGAAUUCUCGGUGUAGCGGUGAAAUGCGUAGAUAUCGAGAGGAACACCUGCGGCGAAGGCGGGUUGCUGGGCUGACACUGACGCUGAUGAGCGAAAGCUAGGGGAGCAAACGGG
rnacentral:rRNA from 1 species